rnacentral:lncRNA from 1 species
AGAGGUGGCGGUUGGGAUUGGUGACAUCUGUUAGGGAAAUGUUGGGGAGAACAACGCUUGGGACGGCCUGGUUAUUCACCAUAAGGUAAUAUUUUCCGCCUACUCGGUUCUUUAUUAGGCGGCUGGACCGACAGUAGCCUAUAUCCAUAAAUAGGGGAGGUAAAGAUUCUAAAGUUUGGAGUCGGUCCCCUAGGUUUAAGCCAAGUGCUAUGGUGGUUAUUAAUCCACCAAUUACAAAAGGUUGACGGCCUCUAGCACAUAAGGUGCGG